rnacentral:rRNA from 1 species
UCAGGAUGAACGCUAGCGGCAGGCUUAACACAUGCAAGUCGAGGGGCAGCGCGGUGUAGCAAUACACUGGCGGCGACCGGCGGAAGGGUGCGUAACGCGUGAGCGACAUGCCCGUGACAGGGGGAUAACAGAUGGAAACGUCUCCUAAUACCCCAUAGGAUCGCGUGCUACAUGGCACAGGAUUGAAAGGUGAGAACCGGUCACGGAUUGGCUCGCGUCCCAUCAGGUAGACGGCGGGGCAGCGGCCCGCCGUGCCGACGACGGGUAGGGGCUCUGAGAGGAGUGACCCCCACAAUGGAACUGAGACACGGUCCAUACUCCUACGGGAGGCAGCAGUGAGGAAUAUUGGUCAAUGGGCGGAAGCCUGAACCAGCCAUGCCGCGUGCGGGAAGGACGGCCCUACGGGUUGUAAACCGCUUUUGAGUGCGAGCAAUAAGGUUCACGCGUGGACCGAUGAGAGUAGCAUUCGAAUAAGCAUCGGCUAACUCCGUGCCAGCAGCCGC